rnacentral:rRNA from 1 species
AUUGAACGCUGGCGGCAGGCCUAACACAUGCAAGUCGAACGAGUGGCGGACGGGUGAGUAAUGUCUGGGAACCUGCCCGAUGGAGGGGGAUAACUACUGGAAACGGUAGCUAAUACCGCAUACCAUCGGAUGUGCCCAGAUGGGAUUAGCUAGUUGUUGGGGUAAAGGCCUACCAGGGCGACGAUCCGUAACUGGUCUGAGAGGCUGAUCGGUCAAACUGGAACUGAGAAACGGUCCAGACUCCUACGGGAGGCAGCAUGGGGGAAUAUUGGACAAUGGGCGAAAGCCUGAGCCAGCCAUGCCGCGUGUGUGAAGAAGGUCUUCGGAUUGUAAAGCACUUUAAGUUGGGAGGCGUUACCAACAGAAUAAGCACCGGCUAACUUCGUGCCAGCAGCCGCGGUAAUAC